CCCGCCUUCAUGUAUGAAAUCAUGUCACUCAGCAGCCGUCAGGUGGCGAGUCAGAAGUUGGAAUAUCGAAGAUCACUGCCAAGCACUGAUCAAUAGUGUUACUCAGCUUUACAAAAGUGUGAUGUAUUUGCAAUGUGGACAUGAAGUGAAAUAGGUCUCUCCUCUGCUGUGACUAUUGGCAACGGUUUACUGCAGGACUGACGGCUGUCAAACUGACUUGGGAAGCGGGAAAUGCUCAGAAAUGCUGAUUAAGCUCUCGACGCAGCUGAAGAGUGUUGUCGCCAUCAAAAUCUCUUGACAACCCAGAAGUCCUUAGAUUUAUCACCUUUUUAAAAGUUUGGAUAAAAGUGACAAAGUUAUCAAAUAAAGCAUUACUUCUUCCAUUUUGCCCCCCUGCCAAAGUGGAUACCGGAAAGUUUUUCUUGCUAUGAUGAUGAUGAUAAAGUCGAUCACCGCACAACAGUCAAGAGGGGAAGCUACUAGCUAGACCUGGUUCUUCAUCUGGCCUGACAAUGCAGAGGAUUUUACAGAUAGCCGAAUCAACUAAUGAAUAACACCUGACAGCAGAGGCCUUGGAGAUGUACAAUAGGAUGACGUGAUCACAGGAACAAACAAAAAAAUUAACCCAGAAGGCCUAACCAGGUUCUUCUGGAACCACAACACCAAGAAGUUCCCCUGGAUUUAUCUGACAAUUGGGAGCUCAGCAAAAAUCUAACACAAAUGUUCAUGGAACCGAGUCAGCAAACAGGACUUACAACAGGAAUGAUCUGCAGGGAAUCAGAUAUCUUCCUUGUUACAGCCAAUCAUAACAACAUACCUGUGGGGCUGUAACUUAUGCCUAAGCCAAUCAUAUUAACCCAUUUCAACAUUGUUGUAUCCAUAUCGAAGUUCAGACAGUUUGGACCUCAACAUGGCUUCUGGCAACGACAGCGGAGUGGUAAUGGUGAUCCAUAGCCACAACCGAACUGUGACAGCAGCAAGGAGGAAGAAAUCAAUACAUUGGAAAAUAAAAUUGCCCUUCACUGGAUUUUUGAGAACAUUCAUAAAAGGCAAUAAACGUUCUCUCCUCUGUUUUUCAAAACCAGCACAGGGAAAGGAGAUGAAAGUGAAUGUUUGAAAUUAACAGGAAAGCCCAGCUCGGACUAAGAGAAGAAAAUCACAAAUACGGAAACUCGUGACUCCAGAUGUGCUGAGUGACCUGAUGAAGUUUUGGAUCGGGUGGAAACUACCAACAAGAAACCUCAGUGUGGAGGUUGUAACUUCAGCUUCUCCAGUGGCUCUCACCUUCUACAGGACGUUUCACCAGGACUUGGUGAUGCUCUCGAGUUCCAUAAGUUCUUGCUUUGGACUUGUGUAGAGGCAGAUGACAUCAACUUCUUGCUGUCACUCCCUCUUGUACCAAUGAUAUCCCUUUAAUAAAAAAAGAGCAAUUAUUUCUGAAGCUUGUUGAUUCUCAAGGAACCUCCACAUCUGUCGAGAAAUUUCUCUUUUUUCAGAAUGACUUCCUGUUUUUGAAGUUUUUUUUAUAUAAACACUUUAUAGUCAAUAGUAGCUUUUUUAUUAUUAUUUCUCAUCUAGCUCAGAUAAAAUAUUCCAGGCCUAUAUGAGUCAGUACACGUGACUCAUUUAGUUAUUCAGUGUUUUGGAAGGAGACAUAUAUGUUGCCAGAUGGCAUGUUCAGCCAUGUAGGAUAUGUAAAAUUAUCUCUCCGUGUUCAUAAAAUGUCUGUUCGAAUGAAUUCUUAUAUAAGUAUAAUAAUUCAUCAUUUUAAGACCAGGGCUUUUGUAACUAUUUAAAAUGUACAAUCGCUAUCUUGGGGCUAAUGACAACUCCCAGGACUCAUUAAGAACAAAGACAAAACACAGAACAUAACCAAGUGUAUUCUCCAGGCUGCAUUCUCACCAUUGGUUGAAACAGUGAAAAUUGGUUGCAGAUCUUUCCCUGUUUAAAAAAGAAAACAAAAACAACAAAAAA